rnacentral:lncRNA from 10 species
CUGGCCAACAUGGUGAAACCCCAUCUCUACUAAAAAUACAAAAAUUAGCUGGGCGUGGUGGUGUGCACCAGUAGUCCCAGCUACUACCCCGUGUCUACAGAAAAUACAGUAAUUAGCGGUGUGUAGUGGCAUGCACCUGCAGUCCCAACUACUUUUGAGGGUGAAGUGGGAGGAUAGAUUGAGCCUAGGAGGUAGAGGCUGUAGUGAGCCAAUAUCACACCACUGCACUCCAGCCUGGGCAACAGAGUGAGACCUGUCUUUAAAAAGAAAAAAAUCUAUUUGGGCUGGACAAGAUGGCUCACGCCUAUAAUCCCAGCACUUUGGGAGGCCAAGGCGGGAGAGAGACGGGGUUUCACUGUGUUGCCCAGGCUGGUCUCAGACUCCUGAGCUCAGGCAAUCCUUCCGCCUUGGCCUCCCAAAGUGCUAGGAUUACAAGUGUGAGCCAACGUGUUCGGCCGGCCUCGUCUUUUUUUAAGAGCUGUUUGCGUUUAACUUAUUUAUUUAUUUAUUUUUGAGACGGAGUUUCACUCUGUCGCCCAGGCUGCAGUAUAGUGGCGCAAUCUCAGCUCACUGCAACCUCCACCUCCCAGGUUCAAACAAUUCUCCUGCCUCAGCCUCCUGAGUAGCCGGGACUACCGGCGCAUGCCACCACGCCCAGCU